GGGAUCGUGGCACAGCGGCGACUGCGCCUGACUGUAAAUCAGGUAUAUCACACGUAGGUUCGAGUCCUACCGAUCCCAC
rnacentral:tRNA from 1 species